GGAUGACCAGGAUGAGCCUGUGCACUGGAGAAGGGGUUAAAGAGGCUGCAACUAGUCGAAGCUUUGCAGCAGCCCUGCCUGGGAUGCAUCUCUGGGUCCACAAGCUUGGAGAAUGUAUGGAUGAAGGCUGGGUUGUACUAUGGCCAAAUCUGGGAGAGAUGAUGCUCUCUUCUUUUGGAUUCAGAUGCAACCUAUGCCAUCGGACAUGGGACCAUCAGCUGUGUUUGAUUUGGACUACAUGAACAAGUCUGUUACGAGCAUUUAUGUGCGUCCUUAUGAAAGGAAGACCAAAGGAGCUUUGACCACAGACAGAAAAGUGAUGUGACUAUGGAAGCAGCAACGGGAGUGGCGUGCUUGGAGGAAGAGGGCACACACCCAGGAAUACAGGAGGCCUCUAGAAGUUGAAGAAGGUCAAGGAAACAGAUUCCCCUUCAGAGCCUCUGGAAGGAAGCAGCCCUGCUUACACCUUGACUUUGGUGCAUUGACACUGAUUUCAGACGUUGGACCUCCAGC